GGACCUAUGGCGCAACGGUAGCGGUACGUUCUGAGAUGUAAUUCCUUCCUCUACGACUCUCCCCAACUAAUAAUUGCAUGUAGCGUUCGACUCCAGAUCGAAAGGUUGUCUGUUCAAAUCAGGCUGGGUUCA